rnacentral:lncRNA from 1 species
GGGAGAGGCCAGCGCCUGCGGCUGUCGGGAAGACUGGCCUUUGAAGGGAGUUCUGGAGCGAGGCUGUUAGGUAGAGCACCGGGGAGCCAGCACCUCACAAGUGCAAGGCUAGAGAGCCAAAGAGCACAGCUCCGGGCGAACUGAGAAGGCCAGAAGCUGUGGGAAGACAGGGCUUCAGAACUGCUACACCCAAGAAGGGGCCGGACGAAGGACGCGCGUAGAGGACCAGGGGCUGCAGGAGGUUGAGACUCUGCAGCGCAGGCCCGGGCCUGGCGCCUGCAUGCGGCUGAAGCAGGCGCUGGAAGAGCUGGUGGCGGGGAGCAGAACCUGUUGGCAAAGCAAGGACUGCGGCUUCUACGGCGUCUGAGGCAGGACGCUGUGCAAGAGAAGGUGGCCCUGGCCAGGAAGCUCUUGGCAAAACUGUGCUUCCUGGCCCAGGAGGUAAUACCGGGCCACCAUUUCCCUACCGUGACUACCCUGCGGGCGACGGUCGCCCAAUAGUGAUUGAGGUACAGCGUCCUACUGAACCGUACAUUCAAAAAUGGUUGCAGUGAACUAAUGAAGCAUCGAACUUUACAUCGGAAUCCGGGGAUGUACUGUAUGGUGACUAACACAAUAU